rnacentral:tRNA from 1 species
CCAUAGCUCAGCAGGAUAGAGCGAUCGCCUCCUAAGCGAUAGGCCAGGGGUUCGAAUCCCUUUGG